rnacentral:miRNA from 1 species
AGCAACAGCAGCAACAGCAGCAGCAGCAGCAGCAGCACAACAGCAGUCAGAAUUUCUAGAGAGUGUUGGCAGCGUUGAAUCAUGCACAGAGGCUGCUGCUGCUGCUGCUGUUGCUUGCUGCACUUUGCA